rnacentral:rRNA from 1 species
UACGUAGGGUGCAAGCGUUAAUCGGAAUUACUGGGCGUAAAGCGUGCGCAGGCGGUUAUGUAAGACAGGUGUGAAAUCCCCGGGCUUAACCUGGGAACUGCAUUUGUGACUGCAUAGCUAGAGUACGGCAGAGGGGGACGGAAUUCCGCGUGUAGCAGUGAAAUGCGUAGAUAUGCGGAGGAACACCGAUGGCGAAGGCAAUCCCCUGGGCCUGUACUGACGCUCAUGCACGAAAGCGUGGGGAGCAAACAGG